CUGUGGAGAGAGCUUAAGGUUUGAGUUGCCAAAAGUCAGCCUCAAAACCUUAAUGACUUGUAGAAGAUCUGCAAAGAGGAGUGGGACAAAAUCCCUCCUGAGAUGUGUGCAAACCUGGUGGCCAACUACAAGAAACGUCUGACCUCUGUGACUGCCAAAAAGGGUUUUGCCACCAAGUACUAAGUCAUGUUUUGCAGAGAGGUAAA